GCAGUCGAACGCGUUGGCCCAAUUGAUUGAUGGUGCUUGCACCUGAUUGAUUUUGGUCGCCAACGAGUGGCGGACGGGUGAGUAACACGUAGGUAACCUGCCCAGAAGCGGGGGACAACAUUUGGAAACAGAUGCUAAUACCGCAUAACAGCGUUGUUCGCAUGAACAACGCUUAAAAGAUGGCUUCUCGCUAUCACUUCUGGAUGGACCUGCGGUGCAUUAGCUUGUUGGUGGGGUAAUGGCCUACCAAGGCGAUGAUGCAUAGCCGAGUUGAGAGACUGAUCGGCCACAAUGGGACUGAGACACGGCCCAUACUCCUACGGGAGGCAGCAGUAGGGAAUCUUCCACAAUGGGCGCAAGCCUGAUGGAGCAACACCGCGUGAGUGAAGAAGGGUUUCGGCUCGUAAAGCUCUGUUGUUAAAGAAGAACACGUAUGAGAGUAACUGUUCAUACGUUGACGGUAUUUAACCAGAAAGUCACGGCUAACUACGUGCCAGCAGCCGCGGUAAUACGUAGGUGGCAAGCGUUAUCCGGAUUUAUUGGGCGUAAAGAGAGUGCAGGCGGUUUUCUAAGUCUGAUGUGAAAGCCUUCGGCUUAACCGGAGAAGUGCAUCGGAAACUGGAUAACUUGAGUGCAGAAGAGGGUAGUGGAACUCCAUGUGUAGCGGUGGAAUGCGUAGAUAUAUGGAAGAACACCAGUGGCGAAGGCGGCUACCUGGUCUGCAACUGACGCUGAGACUCGAAAGCAUGGGUAGCGAACAGGAUUAGAUACCCUGGUAGUCCAUGCCGUAAACGAUGAGUGCUAGGUGUUGGAGGGUUUCCGCCCUUCAGUGCCGGAGCUAACGCAUUAAGCACUCCGCCUGGGGAGUACGACCGCAAGGUUGAAACUCAAAGGAAUUGACGGGGGCCCGCACAAGCGGUGGAGCAUGUGGUUUAAUUCGAAGCUACGCGAAGAACCUUACCAGGUCUUGACAUCUUGCGCCAACCCUAGAGAUAGGGCGUUUCCUUCGGGAACGCAAUGACAGGUGGUGCAUGGUCGUCGUCAGCUCGUGUCGUGAGAUGUUGGGUUAAGUCCCGCAACGAGCGCAACCCUUGUUACUAGUUGCCAGCAUUAAGUUGGGCACUCUAGUGAGACUGCCGGUGACAAACCGGAGGAAGGUGGGGACGACGUCAGAUCAUCAUGCCCCUUAUGACCUGGGCUACACACGUGCUACAAUGGACGGUACAACGAGUCGCGAACUCGCGAGGGCAAGCAAAUCUCUUAAAACCGUUCUCAGUUCGGACUGCAGGCUGCAACUCGCCUGCACGAAGUCGGAAUCGCUAGUAAUCGCGGAUCAGCAUGCCGCGGUGAAUACGUUCCCGGGCCUUGUACACACCGCCCGUCACACCAUGAGAGUUUGUAACACCCAAAGUCGGUG
rnacentral:rRNA from 2 species